rnacentral:rRNA from 1 species
UACGAAGGGGGCUAGCGUUGCUCGGAAUUACUGGGCGUAAAGGGCGCGUAGGCGGACAUUUAAGUUAGAGGUGAAAGCCCAGGGCUCAACCCUGGAAUAGCCUUUAAUACUGGAUGUCUUGAGUUCGGGAGAGGUGAGUGGAAUGCCGAGUGUAGAGGUGAGAUUCGUAGAUAUUCGGCGGAACACCAGUGGCGAAGGCGACUCACUGGCCCGAUACUGACGCUGAGGCGCGAAAGCGUGGGGAGCAAACAGG